AGAACCCUCAACGACACACCAGACAAUUUUCCAAUCACCAUGGGACCCAUUUCUGGCACACAGCCUCUUUUGGGAAUGGAUUCAGAAGAGCAGUUUCCAGUGACCACCUCACAGUCUGGAAAUGCCUCUCCCU
rnacentral:Y_RNA from 1 species